UACAAUCAAUACAUGCAUUCACGUCGGAAUUAAAUUUCAGUCUCACGCAUGUCAACUGCUGGGCAGCCAUUUGCGUGCAUAUGGAGUUGAGGGAACGUCCUCACUUACGUAAAUGGCUGAUGCAUUUUCGGAUUUUUUCACCCCCUCUAAUUGUACAGCUAUCAUCUCACCGUGAACUAGCCUCACUCCUUGCGUCCUAAACACUGUUAACCGGAACAGUAAUCACAAAAGACCUUCAACUACCUCUCGAUCAUGGUUAUUAUGUGUCAGUGUUAGUGAAAUACAUUGUAGUCUGAUUAUGAAAUCGUGAUACAGUGACUAAUUUGGCUAUUUGCAUUGUGUGCAGCGCUGCAACUGUAGCCUUCUCGCACAGCCAGGAGGACGCAAGGCUUUCUCCGCCAAUCUGGGUUAACCCCCAGAGACACGAGAUGAAACAAUGAAAAGGAUUUGAGACAUUAAAAUGUUGCAUUCGCCUAGUAACUUCUUAAGAUUAUUCACAGAAAUGACGGUUAAUAAGUAAACAUCGCGCACGUGAAGGAGUUCCGUGUGUUGUAACUCGUAGGAGGGCUUCUCGGAGCAUUUUAACAGUAUUAGCCAGCUACUCUAAACUGUUGGAUACAGAUAGCUUGCUAGCCUAGCCGCAGCAUUUGAACUAGCGAAGCGGCUAUGCUAUUGUCUGGCUUUGCACCAUAAUUGAUCCAACCAUAUCAUCACCCCGUAACCUUGCACGCGAUUGUUGACAAUGCUGAGGACAUCAGUUCCACUGGCUCCGGGUUCACUAUCCGAUCCUGAAGCGCUACAGUAGCUCCUCACGACCAGUCCCCGGCACCGGCAGGCAACACAAAAGCGCUGAUUGGGCCUCGACAAGUACUCAUCCCCUUGGUCUCUGCCCAGACAGACGGGUUAUUGGUCGGCGGCUGUGUCGGAGACGCGCCCCUAUUAAGCCUAGGUGCAUUCUGGAUGAAGAGCUCAACAUGGAAGAUGCUGCUGAAACAGUCACAGAAUUUUUACAGAUCGUAAAUGGUACAUUUGAGAAUGUCUUCAAAUAUUUCUUGAAUUCAUAUAUGCUCGUCCUCAGAC